UACGUAGGGGGCAAGCGUUAUCCGGAAUUACUGGGUGUAAAGGGAGCGUAGACGGCGAGGUAAGCCUGAAGUGGAAGCCCGCGGCCCAACCGCGGAACUGCUUUGGGAACUGUUUUGCUGGAGUACGGGAGGGGCAGGCGGAAUUCCUGGUGUAGCGGUGAAAUGCGUAGAUAUCAGGAGGAACACCGGCGGCGAAGGCGGCCUGCUGGACCGUGACUGACGUUGAGGCUCGAGAGCGUGGGGAGCAAACAGG
rnacentral:rRNA from 1 species